rnacentral:rRNA from 1 species
UACGUAGGGUGCGAGCGUUGUCCGGAAUUACUGGGCGUAAAGAGCUUGUAGGCGGUCUGUCACGUCUUCUGUGAAAACUUGGGGCUCAACCUUAAGCUUGCAGGGGAUACGGGCAGACUAGAGUACUUCAGGGGAGACUGGAAUUCCUGGUGUAGCGGUGGAAUGCGCAGAUAUCAGGAGGAACACCGGUGGCGAAGGCGGGUCUCUGGGCAGUAACUGACGCUGAGGAGCGAAAGCGUGGGGAGCGAACAGG